GAGACAUGUACAGUGAAUUACUUUCUUUGUUACUUAAAUUUAAAGACAUUAAAUGAAGCUGUUCAUUUCAGUUUGCAGAAAAAUCCUAUCAAAAGAGGUUGUGGAUUUUCCUGUUUCCAGAGAGGCGGACUACACCAUGAGACUUAUCCUUAACAUUAAUAUUCUUAUUUUCAGUGUUUAUGACAAUUGUUAUCAUGAUUACUAUUAUUUGUAUGUUUGGCUAAAACAUCUGUACUUAGCCAAACUUAAUACAUUAACAUGGACUCUGAAAACAUUUAUUUAAGGAAAUUGUUUGUCUACAAAUUAAUAAGUACAAUCAUUUCAUUUUCUAUAUUUUUUUCAUAAAUGACUGUGUUGGUGCUUAGCACAUCCUGUGCAACAGUUUCAUACACACCCACAUAUAUACGGUCACGAUUGUACAUGUAUAAUCGUGUGUGUGUGUGUUUUUAUACUUUUGUUGUUAACAGAGGACCUAAAAGACUUGUGUCACUUCUGUGGAGAGAUGGAAAGUGACACGGAUGUGAACUGGGUAGGAAAGUUUUUAAAAUUAUUCAAAGACUUAGUGUUAGUAAACUAAAUGAAGAGGACAAGUUUUAUCUAAUCUUAUCUUGCGUAAACAAGCUAUGAUAUGAUCCUCCAGCAGUUGGAAUAUAAGGGAAUCUAAAAUGAUUGAUUGUAUAUUGUAAUUGUAAAGACAUAUUUUUCUAAAAAAAACCUGAUAUUUUUGGUUUCUUUCCUAGAUCCAGUGUGACGCGUCUGAGGUGGUCCCAUCAUGCAUGUGUGGGAAGCCCAACAACUGGAACAACUUAUCACUGCUUUGCCUGUUUGCCUUAUUUGCCUUUGUUCCUGAGUUUGCUGUGGUGUGCUUGUUUAUGUAUGUUGUUUAAUGGUUAAUAAAUUACAUUUUGAAAACUG